AAGUCGUAACAAGGUUUCCGUAGGUGAACCUGCGGAAGGAUCAUUAACAAUUUCAAAACAAUCAACCUUUGUGAAUCGACCUUUGGCUGGGUAGACGAUAAAUCUUAAAAGUCCCGCAAAGGUGUGUUGUGUUGAUAGUGAAAAGUGAAAAGUGUUUAGGGGAAAAAUUUAUGUAAAAGUAUUUGAUUUCCACAAACAAGCUUAACUUUAGCUGCACACAACAAACUAUAUAUAGACUAUUUUUCUGACUAAUAUAAAGUAAAAUUCUAAAUGAAAACAACUUUUAACAGUGGAUCUCUU
rnacentral:misc_RNA from 1 species